rnacentral:tRNA from 2 species
GGCCGGAUGGCGCAAUGGUAGCGCGCAGUCCUCCUAAGACUGAGGUUCUGGGUUCGAGUCCCAGUUCGGUCG